ACGGUCGUUUUGCAGAUGUGUUUGCAAAUUUUGAAUAUACUUUAAUUCAUAACUUGUUCCAAGAUUUUUAAUAAUGGAAUGACGAAAAAAAUAAAGCAGGGUGAACAUUUAUUAUUUUUUACAGUAAUAGUUGUAGGCAUACAUGCCAACCAACCGUCCCUAUAUGGUCUGGACAGUCCCGAUUGCCUAGUAAAUGUCCCGCGUCCCGAUGCAUAGGAAGAAAGUCCCGAUAUUUACCCAUAGGAAAAAAAAAUAAUUUAUUCUGCACAGUAGAGUUAGUGAAAACCACGUGCGGCUGACACAUCUGCUGAUCACUAACUUAUACAAAGAAUCUCAGUCCAUCAACUGAACGUAGACGGUCAGGGAGCAGUCAAGCAGAAUGUCACUACUGUCAACUUGGAGCCCAAUUCUCAAAAGCAACUUUAACCUAACCAGCCUUGUAAGACCAUCAUCCUGGAGUUCGCCUGAAUUUGGUACAGCCUGGGGCUUCACACUAGCACUAUCGCCAUGGUCGAAGAUAUCAAGAUUGGGAGAUUUUAAAGAAAAUAAAUCCAAGAAAAUUGAUUAUCAGUUUAAUGUUGUAUGAUUCUACUUAGUUUCGGUUAGUGUCUGAUUAAUAAAAAAUAAUUUAAAAAAAAGCCAAAUAUCUAAGGGGCAUAAAUUCCUUGGCCAGUUUGGCGGCGAGUUUUUAAAGCUGUUGCUCAAGACAUUUUUUAACUGACACAUUGAUGAAUAGAGCCCACUGUUUCCUUAGUACAAUAAUCACACUAUGCAUCAAUUGCAAACCCUCAUUAAGCAGACAAGAAAAGUUUCAUGAGUACCAGACCUUAACAAAACAGGCUUUCAGUAAAGCGUGACUUAAUGUUUUGUGAAUUGAGACCCACUGUUAGUAAUUAGAAAGGAGUUUAUAUGUCAAACUUUUAUUUUUACUCAUAAGCAGGUUUGUGUCUAACUGCCUAUGACCAUGUUGAGUUAUGUCCUUUAGCCUCUGAUUUAUAGUACAUCUGGCUAAAAGGUUUGAUGAUUUUGUGAAUAAGUUUGAAUUGCGAGUGACAUAGAGGUUACCGCUGGAGGCCAAUUGUUUUAAAGGUGCAGCCCAGUUGUGCUAUGCAGAACUGCCAUUAAUCUGUUCAGUGUUGUCAGAUGUACAGCUAUGGACAAAAGUUUUGCAUCAAUUUUAAGAUUUAAAUAAAUAAACUAUGUGAACAAAUGUAGAUGUUUUAUUUAACAUCAUGUAAUCAACAAAACUACAAAAUGAUAUCGCAAAAGUCUACCGGAAGCCAUAAUAGCAGUACAGUAUUUUUCAAUUUUUGUCGGUUUUUCAUUAAUUAUAUGGAAAACUACAACGCGGUAUGUAAUUCAGUAUGUUAUCGUAAUAUUAUUAAGCCAUUUCCUUCGAUUUUAUUAAACAAAAUUAAUUAAUUCUAUAGUGAUGCAAAACACUUGGCCAUAGCUGUAGAUGUGAGA